GCUGGCGUAGCUCAGUGGUAGAGCAGCGCACUUGUAAUGCGCAGGUCGGGGGUUCAACUCCCUUCGCCAGCUCCA
rnacentral:tRNA from 2 species